AGAGUUUGAUCAUGGCUCAGGAUGAACGCUGGCGGCGUGCCUAACACAUGCAAGUCGAACGAGAAGCUGACUUCUGAUUCCUUCGGGAUGAUGAGGUUAGCAGAGAGUGGCGAACGGGUGAGUAACGCGUGGGUAAUCUACCCUGUUAAGUGGGGGAUAACCCUCCGAAAGGAGGGCUAAUACCGCAUAAUAUCUUCUCCUCCCAAGAGAAGAAGAUUAAAGAUGGCCUCUAUACUAUGCUAUCGCUUCAGGAUGAGCCUGCGUCCUAUUAGUUAGUUGGUGGGGUAAUGGCCUACCAAGACCACAAUGGGUAGCCGGUCUGAGAGGAUGUACGGCCACACUGGGACUGAGAUACGGCCCAGACUCCUACGGGAGGCAGCAGUGGGGAAUAUUGCGCAAUGGGGGAAACCCUGACGCAGCGACGCCGCGUGGAUGAUGAAGGCCCUUGGGUUGUAAAAUCCUGUUCUGGGGGAAGAAAGCUUAAAGGUCCAAUAAACCCUUAAGCCUGACGGUACCCCAAGAGAAAGCUCCGGCUAAUUAUGUGCCAGCAGCCGCGGUAAUACAUAAGGAGCAAGCGUUAUCGGGAAUUAUUG
rnacentral:rRNA from 1 species